rnacentral:rRNA from 1 species
UAGUGAUAGCUGGUUUCUCAAGAAAAGAAUCUUAGUUCACCCUAAAGCCCACAUAAUAAUAUAAAUAACAACACAACUUUAGAGCAAUCCAAACAAGGGACAGCCUGUUUGAAAAAGGAUACAACCUUCACUCGCGGGUAAUGAUACUCACUAUAACACCAAGUAGACCUAAAACCAGCCAUCUUAGUAAAAUGCGUUAAAGCUUUAUCUUAUACCACUCUUUCUCUUUUCCCACCCCCGAAUCACUAUUGAGAACUUCUAUACCGUAUAGAAACUUUUAUGUUAAAACUAGUAACAAGAACCAAUUCUCUUAAAUACACGUGUAUGUUAGGGCGAACUCACCACUAACACUUAUCUGCCAUGAAAAACAAUAGCAACUCCCUAAGAAAACCCUAUUAAUUAUUUUGUUAACCCUACACAAGAGUACUUCAAGAAAGAUAAAAAUGGAAAGAAGGAACUCGGCAAAUGGGGGAUCCCGCCUGUUUACUAAAAACACCGCCUCUUGACUACCAUAAGAGGUCCAGCCUGCCCAGUGAGAAAUUCAACGGCCGCGGUAACCUGACCGUGCAAAGCCUGACCGUGCAAAGGUAGCGUAAUCACUUGUUUUUUAAAUAGAGACUAGUAUGAAUGGCACCACAAGGAUAAAACUGUCUCCUUUCCACAAUCAGUGAAACUAAUCUCCUAGUGAAGAAGCAAGGAUAUUACUGUAAGACGAAAAGACCCUAUGGAGCUUAAAACAAACAACUAAUGCUUUUCUUAUCUCCAUUUUUCCCCAAAGCACUGUAGUUACUAAUUUUUGGUUGGGGUGACCACGGAGAAAAAUUUAUCCUCCACAACGAAAUUCUUUAGACAAAGCCACAGCUUUAUCUAGCAAUAAAUUGGCGCACUGACCCAAUAACUUGAUCAGCGAACUAAGUUACCCUAGGGAUAACAGCGCAAUCCGCCUCGAGAGUUCUUAUUAACAGGCGGCUUUACGACCUCGAUGUUGGAUCAGGGUAUCCCAGUGGUGCAGCCGCUACUAAAGGU